AGUGGCGGACGGGUGAGUAAUGCGUAGGAAUCUACCUUCAAGUGGGGGAUAGCCCGGAGAAAUCCGGAUUAAUACCGCAUGUUCUCUACGGAGAAAAGCGGGCCUCUGACUCAAGCUCGCGCUUGAAGAUGAGCCUACGUCGGAUUAGCUAGUUGGUAGGGUAAAGGCCUACCAAGGCGACGAUCCGUAGCUGGUUUGAGAGGAUGAUCAGCCACACUGGGACUGAGACACGACCCAGACUCCUACGGGAGGCAGCAGUGGGGAAUAUUGGACAAUGGGCGCAAGCCUGAUCCAGCAAUGCCGCGUGUGUGAAGAAGGCCUGCGGGUUGUAAAGCACUUUUAUCGGGAAAGAAAAGCUUGGGGCUAAUAUCUCCAAGCCUUGACGGUACCCGUUGAAUAAGCACCGGCUAACUCCGUGCCAGCAGCCGCGGUAAUACGGAGGGUGCAAGCGUUAAUCGGAAUUACUGGGCGUAAAGCGAGUGUAGGUGGCCGCAUAAGUCGGAUGUGAAAGCCCUGGGCUUAACCUGGGAAUGGCAUUCGAUACUGUGUGGCUAGAGUCUGAUAGAGGGAAGUGGAAUUCCAGGUGUAGCGGUGAAAUGCGUAGAUAUCUGGAGGAACAUCAGUGGCGAAUGCGGCUUCCUGGAUCAAGACUGACACUGAGGCUCGAAAGCGUGGGGAGCAAACAGGAUUAGAUACCCUGAUAGUCCACGCCCU
rnacentral:rRNA from 1 species